GCUCUGGUAUCCUAGUGGUUAGAACGUCUACUUCAUGUGGAGGAGAUCUAGGGUUCAAAUCCCGGCUGAGGCA